rnacentral:rRNA from 1 species
UAUCAACUCCCCAACCCUAUGUGACUUACCACUUGUUGCUUCGGCGCGCGCUUCGGCGCCGCCGAGGACACUUAAACUCUUUGUUUUUAUAAGCAUUUCUGAGUGGCCGAAAGGCAAAAAUACAAAUGAAUCAAAACUUUCAACAACGGAUCUCUUGGUUCUGGCAUCGAUGAAGAACGCAGCGAAAUGCGAUAAGUAAUGUGAAUUGCAGAAUUCAGUGAAUCAUCGAAUCUUUGAACGCACAUUGCGCCCGCCAGCAUUCUGGCGGGCAUGCCUGUUCGAGCGUCAUUUCAACCCUCGAGCCCGACUCUUUUGAGGACGGCUCGGCGUUGGGGGACGGCAGACUCCCCCCGGCAUCUCGCCGGGGACGCCGCCCCCGAAAUCUAGUGGCGGCCCUCCGAGGCGACCUCUGCGUAGUAACUUGUUCUCGCACCGGAAAGCUCAGAGCGGCCACGCCGUAAAACCCCAACUUUUUUCAGGUUGACCUCGAAUCAGGUAGGACUACCCGCUGAACUUAAGCAUAUCAAUAAGCGGAAGGAAAAGAAAAGUUA